AGAGUCGAUCGGACAGUCGCUGUCUCUUUUUGUUCCGGCAAAAGGGGAGGGAGGAAAGUCCGGGCUCCAUAGGGCGAAGUGCCAGGUAACGCCUGGGAGGCGCGAGCCUACGGAAAGUGCCACAGAAAAUAACCGCCUAAGCGCUUCGGCGCCGGUAAGGGUGAAAAGGUGCGGUAAGAGCGCACCGCACGGCUGGCAACAGUCCGUGGCUAGGUAAACCCCACUUGGAGCAAGACCAAAUAGGGAUCCAUUGGCGUGGCCCGCGCUGGAUCCGGGUAGGUUGCUAGAGGCAGUCAGUGAUGGCUGUCGUAGAGGAAUGGCUGUCCUCGACAGAACCCGGCUUACAGAUCGACUCUCCGA
rfam:Pseudomonas sp. Chol1 Contig56, whole genome shotgun sequence.